UCAAUUAGUCAUUCCAGAGAAUGGUUCCUUCUAACAGUACUCAGAGGGUGUGGAGGCCGAUUAUGUUAUUUUAAUUUUUUACGUGAUAUUCGCUUUUUGAAAUUUAACCACAUGAAUGUGAUCGACUACAGUUCUUGUUUGGUAGAAAUACAUCACUGCCCAUUUAUGGUAGACGUUUGACGAAUUCAAAAAAUCAGCUCAAAUUUUUUCAGAUUUUCAAGUCAGAAAACAUCAUAAAAAUAAAAGAGGAAGCAAAAUCCCAGAGUUUAUUUCUGACAAAAAGGACCAUGGUAAGCCCUUGCACAGGGUCUGAUUUGGCCAACCACCAUUAAAAGAUAAAAAAUCACAACUGUCCAUACGGUAUAAACGGCAGGAAGUACCGAAAUUUUCAAGCAAUAGAACACAAGAUAAUCAUACUUGUACCGCCCUGGUACUGCAGCAACAUGCACCUGGCAAUGAGUGAUGACUCACCUAUUUGUCACCAAUAGACACUUGAACAAUUGAUUAAUAGAUGGAAGGCAAACUCCCAAAAGCUCAUCCUGCAAUUUCCAGACUGCUGCAACUGCAAAUCUGUGACAAAUAACAGGGACCAUUCUGUAAGCAAAGCUGCUACCUCCCACCAUUUCUGGCUUCCGCCAGAGGCAAGGGCUCCUACCCAUGUUCACUUUACCUUUUCUCUUUUUAAAUUUUAAAUCUGGAGCGUCGGGGAUACCGGUGGCUACCGAAUGAAAACAAAGCAGUCCAGCCAUUGGAGGGUACAAAGCCUGCCCGGUCUCAUGUGCAUCUCAGAUGCUUGCUUCCUGUUUCACCACUAUCUGCCAAUAAACAGUAAGCACCAGUCAGAAUCUUAGCAACCACUACCACCAAGAGUUUUCUUCCAUUAUCUGUCCCUUGUCAGAUGCUAUCAAUAAUGAUGAUAUCCCCUCUUGCGUCGUGUUCAAAUUUUCUGUAGCCAGCUCCUUUAUUUCAUGUUUUAUGAUCAACCUGCUUCUUCCUGUCUCGUUUUCCUGUAAUUUCUUUAAUCACCAACAUCAGUUAGCGUAAUAAGAGCUCUUGGGGGUUGACAGAGACAUUCAUUUGUUGGCAACAGUUGCAGCUCCCUUUCCGGUUACCACGGCAUGAAGCUUUUUCUUGCCUUAUAAUACAAUACUUCUUCAGCCUCACGUCUUUAUGAGUGGAGGUACUUUCACAGGGAUGUUUUGUUCUUCUGCCGGAAUAUUUGCGUCACAAGGAAAGAAUGUUUCACAGACAUUGAUGACCAAUGAUGCCAGGAGAAUGAAAGUCUGGAGGACAACAGCAAGAAGGCACAUGGCGGCAAACCUGCGGCACAUAAGGUAUGUGUGAUCUGCCUGGCUCCCUGAAUGCCAUCUAUGAAGCACACCAGAGGGGCUGGUGUGAUUACUGGUUGGCAUCAGGGGAGCCAAGCAGGUCACAAUUAAUACGUACGUCCAGCUCAAGGUGCGCUUCUGUAAAAGCCACUGCACCUUAGUUUUCUGCACAUUUCAUUUGUUCACUUCAAAACUUGUAUGUCCUAGGCAUCAUUCUGCAAUGACAUACAAGUUUUGAAGUGUUUGUCAGCAAUUCAAAACUUGUAUGUCAUUGCAGAAUGAUGCCGGGGACACAUAUUCUCUGAUUAGCAGAAGAAACAAUGCUGAAAGGGAUUACCUAUUUGCCUCAAAUUCUUUUUGGGAUCUAAGAUCUUAGAUCGCCCAAAUGAUCGAGAGAGAGAGAGAGAGAGAGAGAGAGAGAGAGAGUUUUUUUUUUAUGUUCAUUUGCAAAUUGCAACACAAGAUUCUUGCAGCAGAAUUUGGAAUGCAGGGAAUGAUGCUGGCUUCAAAUUUUUGGAGUUAUCCGAGAUAGUAUUUUGGAGACGGGGAAUAACGAAGUUUAAGAAUCAAAAUAGGAUCUCGUUGAAUGUCCAAGAACCAUCAGAGAAAGUUGGUGCGAAUAUUCAGCAAUCCUUAGCUUAUCCGCAUACGAUGGUUCCCGGUACUAUCUCGGUAGCAUGCAGUAUGUAAUUUCCAGUUAUAUUGAAUGCCUAGCUCUGCAUGUCGUGGACUUUCAAGGCUAUAUGAAAUUCCUUCUGCGGCCAUGGUGAAGUUUCACAUAGAUGGGAUCCACUUUCCGGCACCAGUUUUGCAGGAAAAGCAGGUGGAAGAUUGCUCUCUGAUUGAAAAGCAAUGGUACCCAAGAAGAUUACUUGGUGCAGCUCAAUUUGCUCGAGGGUGAUGCUCUCACGGUCUCACCUAGCAUGACACGAGGCUCCAUGGACCCACGGCCAAGGGCUCCUGUCAUCGUGAGAGGUCGAACUAGACAUGCCCCUGAUCAUUCAAUGCACCCAUCCAGAGGCAUAAAUAUUUGAGGUAGACAGGAGGUCACAUCUCGGUUGGUGGAUGCGGGACUUAAUGGAGAAGUACAAACAAAUUAAUGAUGUUGACAGAUUCGCUAGGCAUGUAAUUUAUGAUCUUAUCAUACUCGUUUGAUUUGGACUCUAGCUAAUGGGAUUCAUAUGAAAA